rnacentral:snRNA from 1 species
AUACUUAUCUGGCAGGGGAGAUACCGUGAUUAUGGAGGGGGUUUUCCCAGGAUGAGGCUCAUCCGUUGCACUGCGGGUGUGCUAACCCCUGUGAUUUCCCCAAAUGUGGGAAAUNAUUCAACUGCAUAAUUUGUGGUAGUGGGGGACUGCAUCUGCGCUCUCCCCUG